rnacentral:tRNA from 1 species
GCUCUUAUGGCGGAAUUGGCAUACGCAGUAGCCUCAAAAGCUACGGAGAAAUCAUUUGGGUUCGAGUCCCAAUAAGAGUA